UGGAUACCUAGGCACCCAGAGACGAGGAAGGGCGUGGUAAGCGACGAAAUGCUUCGGGGAGUUGAAAAUUAGCAUAGAUCCGGAGAUUCCCGAAUAGGUUAACCUUUUUCACUGCUGCUGAAUCCAUGGGCAGGCAAGAGACAACCUGGUGAACUGAAACAUCUUAGUAGCCAGAGGAAUAGAAAGCAAAAGCGAUUCCCGUAGUAGCGGCGAGCGAAAUGGGAGCAGCCUAAACCGUGAAAACGGGGUUGUGGGAGAGCACAAUAUAAGCUCUGUGCUGCUAGGCGAAGCGGUUGAGUCCUGCACCCUAGAUGGUGAGAGUCCAGUAGCCGAAAGCAUCAUUGGCUUACGCUCUAACCCGAGUAGCAUGGGGCACGUGGAAUCCCGUGUGAAUCAGCAAGGACCACCUUGCAAGGCUAAAUACUCCUGGGUGACCGAUAGCGAAGUAGUACCGUGAGGGAAAGGUGAAAAGAACCCCCAUCGGGGAGUGAAAUAGAACAUGAAACCGUAAGCUCCCAAGCAGUGGGAGGAAAAUUAUAUCUCUGACCGCGUGCCUGUUGAAGAAUGAGCCGGCGACUUAUAGUUAGUGGCAGGUUAAGGUAGUGAAUACCGAAGCCAUAGUGAAAGCGAGCCUGAAUAGGGCGUUUGUCACUAGUUAUAGACCCGAACCCGGAUGAUCUAACCAUGGUCAGGUUGAAACUUAGGUAAUACUAAGUGGAGGACCGAACCGACUGAUGUUGAAAAAUCAGCGGAUGAAUUGUGGUUAGGGGUGAAAUGCCAAUCGAAUUCGGAGCUAGCUGGUUCUCCCCGAAAUGCGUUUAGGCGCAGCGGUAGAUGUUAUAAUUUAGGGGUAAAGCACUGUUACGUAUGCGGGCUGGUAAUUCGGUACCAAAUCGUUGCAAACUAAGAAUACUAAAUGUAUAGUCUACCAGUAAGACUGUGGGGGAUAAGCUCCAUUGUCAAGAGGGAAACAGCCCAGAGCACCAGUUAAGGCCCUUAAAUAAUUACUAAGUGGUAAAGGAGGUGGGAGUGCAUAAACAAUCAGGAGGUUUGCUUAGAAGCAGCAAUCCUUUAAAGAGUGCGUAAUAGCUCACUGAUCGAGUAAACCUGCGCCGAAAAUGUAAGGGACUAAGUAAUUUGCCGAAACUGUGCGAUAUAUAUUUCUAUAUAUCGGUAGGGGAGCGUUCUGUUGUAGGUCGAAGUAUUAGCGUAAGCGGGUAUGGACGAAGCAGAAGUGAGAAUGUCGGCUUGAGUAACGAAAAUAUAGGUGGGAAUCCUAUACCCCGAAAACCCAAGGUUUCCUCCGGAAGGCUCGUCCGCGGAGGGUAAGUCAGGACCUAAGGCGAGGCUGAAAAGCGUAGUCGAUGGACAACGGGUUAAUAUUCCCGUACCAUUUUUUACUGAUAUCGAGGGACGGAGAAGGCUAAGCUAGCCGGAUAUUGGUUUUACCGGUUUAAACGUUCGAGAUGUUGAGAAGCGGAGAAAACGCUUUGAGUUGAGACGUGAAUACGAGACGCUAAGGCGUCGAAGUAGUGUAUGUCAUACUUCCAAGAAAAGCUUGCACUGUCAUAAGUAAAAAAUGCCUGUACCAUAACCGACACAGGUGGGUAGGUAGAGUAUACUAAGGGGCGCGAGAUAACUCUCUCUAAGGAACUCGGCAAAAUAACUCCGUAACUUCGGGAGAAGGAGUACCUUAUUCUAUAAGGUUGCAAUAACAAGAUCCAAGCAACUGUUUAUCAAAAACACAGGUCUCCGCUAAGUCGUAAGACGAUGUAUGGGGGCUGACGCCUGCCCAGUGCCAGAAGGUUAAAGAAGUCGGUUAGCAUUAGCGAAGCUGGUAACUGAAGCCCUGGUGAACGGCGGCCGUAACUAUAACGGUCCUAAGGUAGCGAAAUUCCUUGUCGGGUAAGUUCCGACCCGCACGAAAGGCGUAACGAUCUGGGCACUGUCUCGGAGAGAGACUCGGUGAAAUAGACAUGUCUGUGAAGAUGCGGACUACCUGCACCAGGACAGAAAGACCCUAUGAAGCUUUACUGUUCCCUGGGAUUGUCUUUGGGUUCUUCUUGCGCAGCUUAGGUGGAGGGCGAAGAAGGCCCCCUUCCGGGGGGGCCUGAGCCACCAGUGAGAUACCACUCUGGAAGAGCUAGAAUUCUAACCUUGCGUCAGGACCUACGGGCCAAGGGACAGUCUCAGGUAGACAGUUUCUAUGGGGCGUAGGCCUCCCAAAAGGUAACGGAGGCGUGCAAAGGUUUCCUCUGAACGG
rnacentral:rRNA from 1 species